rnacentral:tRNA from 1 species
ACUUUAUGAGUAUCUCCGUACAGUUGCCUUCCAAGCAAAUAGUUAGAUUAACCUUCUAAUAAAGUA